AAUGAACGUUGGCGGCGUGGAUUAGGCAUGCGAGUCGUACGAGAACCCGCAAGGGGGAAAGUGGCGAACGGGGUAGUAAUGCGUAGGUGACGUGCCCUGCGGUCGGGGAUAGCUUAGGGAAACUUAAGGUAAUACCCGAUGACACCAUGAGGUUUGAAUACCAUAUGGUCAAAGGUGUGAUUCCACCACAGGAGCGGCUUGCGUGGUAUUAGCUAGUUGGUGAGGUAACGGCUCACCAAGGCUUCGAUGCCUAGGGGAUGUUAGCGCAUGAUCCCCACCACUGGGACUGAGAUACUGCCCAGACACCUACGGGUGGCUGCAGUCGAGAAUCUUCGGCAAUGGGGGAAACCCUGACCGAGCGACGCCGCGUGUGGGAUGAAGGCCCUUGGGUUGUAAACUGCUUUUGUACGGAACGAAAGGUUUUCUCUAAUACAGAGGGCUCAUGACGGUACCGUAAGAAUAAGCACCGGCUAACUACGUGCCAGCAGCCGCGGUAAAGU
rnacentral:rRNA from 1 species